UUGGUUUUGGUAGAGCCUGAUCUACUUUUCAGACAUCUUCACAGAUUUAAAAGCAUUUUAUAACUUUGCAUGUUGUGCAAUGUUGUAGUACUUAGGAGUUUGUCUAAAUCCAAGAUCGUAUUUUCGGUCUUGCUCUUGCCCUGGACUCAGAAGCAUCUGGAUUUGGUUUUGACCCAGACUCAAGACCUAUUCCGGUUCCGAGUACUAAAAUUCUAUACACAGUGUUGUACUACUUAAGACCGGAAUUGGUCUGGAGGUUUGCGUCACACUGACAUCAAAAGGGAAAGCAUGUUUAUAUUUAUGUUAAAUAUAAUUUGUUUAAUUCUGAUUUAAUGUGUUUGUUUCAUUUACCUCCUCACUCAGUUUGGUGAUGCUCUGCUUGGUCUCCAGCUGCUCCUGGUUCACUGCACACAGAUGCACACAAAACGAGACUGUUCCCUGGCCGUCUGAUGCAUAUUGCACACAAAACUUGUAAGAGCUGCAAUCUGUUUGAACAGCUUUAAAGUCACUGUGCAUCGGAAUUAAAGUUGCAUUAGUAAAGAUCCUAGGCUGCUAUGAUGAAUCACUGAGAGGAAAAAUUAAUAAAUGGAUUUGCUAAGGUUUAUAAAGUU